CAAUUUCUGAACACCCACCAACCAAUUCCCAAGCAGUGGUGGCCCCUCUUGCCAGCUCCCCCAGCUUUUAUUGCUGAUAUGAUGUCAUAAAGUAUGGAAUAUUCCUUUGGCAGGUUUUGUAUCUGUCCCCGCAGUCUCCUUGUGCAUCCUCAGCCUCCUUGCUGAUAGGAUAUAAGAUUUGAAGAGGAAGCGGCAGAAGCUAAGAGACUAAUGAAUGUAUUUCAGUCACAGGGAAAAAGGAAACAGAAAUGCUCAGGUCAGACCAUCAUUUGACCAUCUCUCAAUGGAGCCAACAGUAAUGAAUUCCACAUACUGUCUAAAUACAGAUGAUUGAAACAAAGAGGCCAUCAAUUUACUUCCAUGCUUAAUUUCCUUUGCGAGUAUUUAAAUGGAAGCGGAGAUGCAGAAGAAAAGCCUUUGAGACCAGGAAUUACGGCUCAUCCCUGUGAAAAAUAACAGUGCACUGAAACUGUCAGGUAGAAAACGUGGCUUUGAUUAAGCAAGAAAGAUCAGAGGAGGAGAGAAGUUCAGGAAGAGUGAGGCGGUCUUUGAAAGAAGGAAGCAGGAAGAGAUGCUUCUCCGAAGUCUUGCUGAUAAGAAUAAAUUAGGGACAGAAAUUAUUCUGUAAACACUGGAGCUAACGAAGGCUGCUUUUGUAUGGGUUCGUGUUUCAAGUCUGACUCAUUCUGGUUUCCCAGAAAACCUAUGUUCUAAGACUAGCCUUUAGCAAACAUGAGGAUCUUGUGUGUUUAAGCCCAACUUUAUCUUUCCCUGUAUUGUAUAUACAAGAUUAUUUUAAUCUUAAAAUUAUUCUAUAAUCUUACAUGAGUUUUUGGAUGUCUUAGGAAAUGUGUACUUACAUUGUUAUUUUUCUCCCUUGUGGGGCACUUUUAAGUUCAU